rnacentral:antisense_RNA from 1 species
ACAACUGCAGCGAGAGAAGAGGCUGGCAGCAUGGGUGGCAGGNNGCUUGGCAGCCUCACAGGAUGCCUGCAAAUACCUUUCACUUAUGCAGUUUGGCAGUGCAGUGGUGCAUGGAGACAGCGUCUUGGGCCUGUACAGAAGCUUCUAUUCUGGAAUAGAACAGCUAGCAUACUACCAAGACUUUUCAAGGAGCAAGAAUGGAGCUCCCUGGAGAACUGACUGAACAUGGCUUCAGAGGCAGUAUCCAUAGACAUAGAGACAAAAAGUGCCCUCACUUUUACUGUGUUUUGACCUGGACCAGUCUACAUUUAUAUGAAUAGCUACAAAGCANNNUUUCACCACAAGGCUGUAGGGUCACAUUUCAAAGGCCAGAUCUUUCCCAGGGCUUAAGCUGUUCCUUGGAUACUUUUACUGAUGGUUUACACAUCUUCUUCCCACAUUAUAUUGUAACUUUCUU